AGAGCCUGCCUUUCAGGCAUCCUCUCCCAAAGACUUUCAGGCCCGGCCGUCAUGGUCGGGCCUUUUUCUUUCUGCAC
rnacentral:sRNA from 1 species